rnacentral:rRNA from 1 species
UACGUAGGGGGCGAGCGUUGUCCGGAUUUAUUGGGCGUAAAGAGCUCGUAGGCGGUUUGGUAAGGCGGGUGUGAAAUCUCCACGCUCAACGUGGAGGGGCCACUCGAUACUGCCAUGACUCGAGUCCGGUAGAGGAGUGUGGAAUUCCCGGUGUAGCGGUGAAAUGCGCAGAUAUCGGGAGGAACACCCGUAACGAAGGCGGCACUCUGGGCCGGAACUGACGCUGAGGAGCGAAAGCGUGGGGAGCAAACAGG